rnacentral:rRNA from 1 species
GAUGAACGCUGGCGGCGUGCUUAACACAUGCAAGUCGAACGAUGAAGCCCAGCUUGCUGGGUGGAUUAGUGGCGAACGGGUGAGUAACACGUGAGUAACCUGCCCUUAACUCUGGGAUAAGCCUGGGAAACUGGGUCUAAUACCGGAUAGGAGCGUCCACCGCAUGGUGGGUGUUGGAAAGAUUUAUCGGUUUUGGAUGGACUCGCGGCCUAUCAGCUUGUUGGUGAGGUAAUGGCUCACCAAGGCGACGACGGGUAGCCGGCCUGAGAGGGUGACCGGCCACACUGGGACUGAGACACGGCCCAGACUCCUACGGGAGGCAGCAGUGGGGAAUAUUGCACAAUGGGCGCAAGCCUGAUGCAGCGACGCCGCGUGAGGGAUGACGGCCUUCGGGUUGUAAACCUCUUUCAGUAGGGAAGAAGCGAAAGUGACGGUACCUGCAGAAGAAGCACCGGCUAACUACGUGCCAGCAGCCGCGGUAAUACGUAGGGUGCGAGCGUUAUCCGGAAUUAUUGGGCGUAAAGAGCUCGUAGGCGGUUUGUCGCGUCUGUCGUGAAAGUCCGGGGCUUAACCCCGGAUCUGCGGUGGGUACGGGCAGACUAGAGUGCAGUAGGGGAGACUGGAAUUCCUGGUGUAGCGGUGGAAUGCGCAGAUAUCAGGAGGAACACCGAUGGCGAAGGCAGGUCUCUGGGC